GCAUAAUUAGCUCAGAGGAAGAGCGUUAGACUUGAAAUCUAAAAGACGUAGGUUCAACUCCUACAUUGUGCC
rnacentral:tRNA from 1 species